rnacentral:rRNA from 1 species
CGGCACAGAGGGAAGCCAGGUGGCGACACCGCGCGGAACCCGAAAACCUGUCUCAGUUCGGAUUGGAGUCUGCAACCCGACUCCAUGAAGCUGGAUUCGCUAGUAAUCGCGCAUCAGCCAUGGCGCGGUGAAUACGUUCCCGGGCCUUGUACACACCGCCCGUCAAGCCAUGGAAGCCGGGGGUGCCUGAAGUGUGCAGCCGCAAGGAGCGCCCUAAGGUAAAACCGGUGACUGGGGCUAAGUCGUAACAAGGUAAC